UACGUAGGGGGCAAGCGUUGUCCGGAAUCAUUGGGCGUAAAGCGCGCGUAGGCGGCCCGGUAAGUCCGUUGUGAAAGUCAAAGGCUCAACCUUUGAAAGCCGAUGGAUACUGCGGAGCUAGAGUACGGAAGAGGCGAGUGGAAUUCCUGGUGUAGCGGUGGAAUGCGCAGAUAUCAGGAGGAACACCGAUGGCGAAGGCAGGUCUCUGGGCCAUUACUGACACUGAGAAGCGAAAGCAUGGGGAGCGAACAGG
rnacentral:rRNA from 1 species